AACGAACGCUGGCGGCAGGCUUAACACAUGCAAGUCGAACGCCCCGCAAGGGGAGUGGCCGACGGGUGAGUAACGCGUGGGAACAUACCCUUUUCUACGGAAUAGCUCUGGGAAACUGGAAUUAAUACCGUAUACGCCCUACGGGGGAAAGAUUUAUCGGGGAAGGAUUGGCCCGCCUUGGAUUAGCUAGUUGGUGGGGUAAAGGCCUACCAAGGCGACGAUCCAUAGCUGGUCUGAGAGGAUGAUCAGCCACAUUGGGACUGAGACACGGCCCAAACUCCUACGGGAGGCAGCAGUGGGGAAUAUUGGACAAUGGGCGCAAGCCUGAUCCAGCCAUGCCGCGUGAGUGAUGAAGGCCUUAGGGUUGUAAAGCUCUUUCACCGAUGAAGAUAAUGACGGUAGUCGGAGAAGAAGCCCCGGCUAACUUCGUG
rnacentral:rRNA from 1 species